rnacentral:rRNA from 1 species
AGGCAGCAGUGGGGAAUUUUGGACAAUGGGCGCAAGCCUGAUCCAGCCAUGCCGCGUGCGGGAAGAAGGCCUUCGGGUUGUAAACCGCUUUUGUCAGGGAAGAAAUCCUCCGAGAUAAUACCUCGGAGUCAUGACGGUACCUGAAGAAUAAGCACCGGCUAACUACGUGCCAGCAGCCGCGGUAAUACGUAGGGUGCGAGCGUUAAUCGGAAUUACUGGGCGUAAAGCGUGCGCAGGCGGUCUUGCAAGACAGGUGUGAAAUCCCCGGGCUUAACCUGGGAACUGCACUUGUGACUGCAAGGCUGGAGUACGGCAGAGGGGGAUGGAAUUCCGCGUGUAGCAGUGAAAUGCGUAGAUAUGCGGAGGAACACCGAUGGCGAAGGCAAUCCCCUGGGCCUGCACUGACGCUCAUGCACGAAAGCGUGGGGAGCAAACAGGAUUAGAUACCCUGGUAG